CUGCUAUCGGAUUGAUACUAAGCCAUGCGAGUCUUUGUAGUAAUACAAGGCAGACGGCUCAGUAACACGUAGUCAACCUACCCUAUGGACAAGAAUAAUCUCGGGAAACUGGGCAUAAUUCUUGAUAGAUCAUAAUGCCUGGAAUGGUUUAUGGUUAAAAUGAUUCGUCGCCAUAGGAUGGGACUGCGGCCUAUCAGCUUGUUGGUGAGGUAAUGGCCCACCAAGGCGAUUACAGGUACGGGCUCUGAGAGGAGAAGCCCGGAGAUGGGUACUGAGACACGGACCCAGGCCCUAUGGGGCGCAGCAGGCGAGAAAACUUUGCAAUGUGCGAAAGCACGACAAGGUUAAUCCGAGUGAUUUCUGCUAAAGAAAUCUUUUGCCAGUCAUAAAACCACUGGUGAAUAAGGGGUGGGCAAGUUCUGGUGUCAGCCGCCGCGGUAAAACCAGCACCUCAAGUGGUCAGGAUGAUUAUUGGGCCUAAAGCAUCCGUAGCCGGCUUUGUUAGUUUUCGGUUAAAUCCAUGUGCUCAACGCAUGGGCUGCCGAAAAUACUGCAUAGCUAGGGAGUGGGAGAGGUAGACGGUACUCAGUAGGAAGGGGUAAAAUCCUUUGAUCUAUUGAUGACCACCUGUGGCGAAGGCGGUCUACCAGAACACGUUCGACGGUGAGGGAUGAAAGCUGGGGGAGCAAACCGGAUUAGAUACCCGGGUAGUCCCAGCCGUAAACGAUGCAGACUCGAUGAUGCAUUGGCAUAAUAGCCAAUGCAGUGUCGCAGGGAAGCCGUUAAGUCUGCCGCCUGGGAAGUACGUACGCAAGUAUGAAACUUAAGGAAUUGGCGGGG
rnacentral:rRNA from 1 species